GCCACGCAUCGCCGUGGAACGCCACUCGCCGCAGGGGAAGACCCCACCCACCAAGACCAAGACAGGGGAAAAGUUGGAAAGCAACCAGCAGCCCUGUUCCUCCAAUCCUCCCUCCCUCCCUCCCGUUGCUCAUAAAACCCUAACGCAGUGGCGCGCGUCAGCUGCCCAUGCCCUUCCGUCUCCUCCCGCACCGCAUUGGCCUCUUCUCGUCGAUCUCCGCCAUGUCCAGUUCGCGGCGCGCCUCCAGGCUCAUCCGCGCAUCCCGCCCGGAGCUCAACCCAGCUGAAACUGUAAGGGAAGUGAAGUGUGAACCCGGUGUUUCUUUUGACUACUCCAAGUCUGAAAUGAAUUCCGUCAGGAGGAAAAGGCUGAACCGGGUGCUUGAAGUGAAGGAGGACCUUCCUAAGAAGCAGGUUGGUAUUGUUCCUGACAUCGAAGAUUUUCGAUAUGUGAAGACCGGGGCAAAAACGUCAGUAACUGCAAAGCGGGUACCAGCAUCAUUAAAUAAGAACAGUUCACCAGGUGUAAAGGAAGUGAAGUGUGAACCCAGUGUUUCUUUUGACUACUCCAAGUCUGAAAUGAAUUCCGUGGAGAGGAAAAGGCUGAACCGGGUGCUUGAAGUAAAGGAGGAGCAUCCUAAGGAGGUUGGUGCUGUUCCUGACAUCGAUGAUUUUCGAUAUGUAAAGACCGAGGCAAGAACAUCAGUAUCUACAAAGAGGGUACCAGCAUCAUCAAAUAAGAACAGUUCACCAGUCAGGUUGGAGAAAAAGAUCAGAGUUUCAUCUGUUGUGAAAGUGGAAGUUGCAGCUCCAGAAAAUUGGGAAGCAGUUCUUGCAGGUAUUAAAAACAUUAGGUUAUCUGGCCAGGCCCCCGUAGAUACAAAGGGCUGUGAAAAGGCUGGUUCUCUUCUUCCACCCAAGGAAAGAAGGUUUGCAGUUCUUAUAUCAACAAUGAUGUCAAGCCAGACAAAAGAUGAAGUUACGCAUGCUGCUGUGGAGCGUCUCGGUGAGAACGGUUUACUUGACCCUGAUGCUAUCGUCAGAACAGAUGAGGCCACACUGGCAAAUCUUAUCAAACCUGUUGGAUUCUAUCAGAGGAAGGCCCAAUUCAUAAAAGAAGCUUCCAGAAUUUGCCUUGAGCGAUUUGGAGGAGAUAUUCCAGAUACUUUGACUGAUCUGCUUGCUCUGAAAGGAGUUGGCCCUAAAAUGGCUCAUCUGGUGAUGAGCAUCGCAUGGAAGAAUACUCAAGGAAUCUGUGUGGACACUCAUGUGCAUCGCAUUUCUAACCGUCUUGGAUGGGUCUUCCGAGAAGGAACAAAGCAGAAAACUACUACACCAGAACAGACAAGGAUGUCUCUUGAGAAGUGGCUGCCCAAGGAUGAGUGGGAGCCGAUAAACCCACUACUGGUUGGAUUUGGUCAGACAAUCUGUACUCCGCUGAGGCCCAAAUGCGGCAGCUGUGGCAUAAACACCAUUUGCCCAUCAGCUUUUAAGGAAGCGUCAAGUCCCAAUCCGAAGCAAAAGAAGCGAGGUCUAGGUCCAACCUAGGCGGGGUGCCCUCUGAACCUUCUUAACAUGCGUUAGCUACUGAUGUGGUGGUAUGGAAGGUAUAUAGUACAGGCACAUCCCCGGUGGCAAUGCGCUGCGCAAGGCCUUCCGCGAUAGCCGUCUUUCCAACACCGGGUUCUCCAAUUAGGCAGGGAUUGUUCUUUGUACGUCUCCCCAAAAUCUGCAGCACGCGCUCGAUCUGCUUGUUCCUUCCGACGACGGGGUCUAGCUUCCCCUACAGAAUAUAUCAAGAUUCACAAGUUAUUUACUCUAUUUCCUUGCAUUCUGAGCUAGUGCUAUUAUUAUGGCAUGACGGGCCUAGUUCAGUA